rnacentral:lncRNA from 1 species
UGGAAGGCAUGGGCUAUAGCACACAAAAAUUUGGGACACGCGCGAAUUUCUAGUUUUAUGGCUGUAUAAUGCCAAAAGAUAUAAUUUGGUCAUGGCGGGGCGGUGAAAAUGAUUUUAUUAUGCCGUAUUUGAUGUCCAAAACAAAUAUUAGGCGAUUCUAGGACGGAUCUAUCCGGGCCCAAAUCAGAAGGCAUGGGGGUAUAGCACACAAAAAUUUGGGACUCAUGCGAAUUUCUAGUUUUAUGGCUGUAUAAUGUCAAAAAAUUUAAUUUGGUCAUGGCGGGGCGGUGACAAUGGUUUCUUAGGCCGUAUUUGAUUUCCAAGACAAAUAUUAGGCGAUUCUAGGACGGAUCUAUCCGGGCCCAAAUCAGAAGGCAUGGGGUAUAGCACACAAAAAUUUGGGACUCGCGCGAAUUUCUAGUUUUAUGGUUGUAAAAUGCCAAAAAUGUAAUUUGGUCAUGGUGGGCGGUGAAAAUGGUUUUAUUAUGCCGUAUUUGAUGUCCAAGACAAAUAAUAGAUGAUUCCAGGACGGAACCAUCCGGGCCCUAGCACAUAAAAAUUU